ensembl:scaRNA
CAGGAGGUGUAAGAAAGUGAAGCUACUAAAGCGUAUAGUUUUCACUGAUACCCACCUCCAAAAGUGAAAGUGGUAGUGUGAACCACCUGAUCUCCAGAGAUAGGUUUUGAGUGCUCUGCACCUACCCACAAAA